rnacentral:misc_RNA from 1 species
AGUCGUAACAAGGUUUCCGUAGGUGAACCUGCGGAAGGAUCAUUGCAAAUCAAAGAUUGGGAAUGAUAUGAUGCGAUAAGUGUGUUGGUGGGUUGUUUGAGAGCGAUUUUGAACCGUAAGGUUUGAGAGCGAUCUUGACAUUUUGCUGCUACUUGUUGCUUCAAUUUCAUUUUCAUAUACGCACAGCGUGCUUGGGAUUUAGAGGGUGCGAAUUCUCUUUGUCCAAACACACUGAUGUUUACGCUUGUUUGUUUGACAAAUCUAUUACAUUUAAAUAUUCAAAACUUUUAACAACGGAUCUCUUGGCUCUU